rnacentral:rRNA from 1 species
UACGGAGGGUGCAAGCGUUGUUCGGAAUCAUUGGGCGUAAAGGGCGCGUAGGCGGGUCGUUAAGUCCGACGUGAAAUCCCUCGGCUCAACUGAGGAAGUGCAUCGGAUACUGGCGGUCUUGAGUCCUGGAGAGGGUAGCGGAAUUCCCAGUGUAGAGGCGAAAUUCGUAGAUAUUGGGAGGAACACCGGUGGCGAAGGCGGCUACCUGGACAGUGACUGACGCUGAGGCGCGAAAGCAUGGGUAGCAAACAGGG